rnacentral:tRNA from 1 species
GCCGACGUAGCUCAGUGGUAGAGCAACGCUUUCGUAAAGCGUAGGUCGCGGGUUCGAUUCCCAUCGUCGGCUCCA